rnacentral:rRNA from 1 species
UGAGGAAUAUUGGUCAAUGGGCGUAAGCCUGAACCAGCCAUCCCGCGUGCAGGAAGAAGGCGCUAUGCGUCGUAAACUGCUUUUCCAGGGGAAGAAAACCUCUGAUGCAUCGGAGCUUGCCGGUACCCUGGGAAUAAGCAUCGGCUAACUCCGUGCCAGCAGCCGCAGUAAUACGGAGGAUGCAAGCGUUAUCCGGAUUUAUUGGGUUUAAAGGGUGCGUAGGCGGAUUAAUAAGUCAGUGGUGAAAACCUGCAGCUUAACUGUAGAACUGCCAUUGAUACUGUUAGUCUUGAGUACGGUCAAGGUAGGCGGAAUGUGUAAUGUAGCGGUGAAAUGCUUAGAUAUUACACAGAACACCGAUUGCGAAGGCAGCUUACUGGGCCAUUACUGACGCUGAUGCACGAAAGCGUGGGGAGCGAACA